AAUGAACGCUGGCGGCAGGCCUAACACAUGCAAGUCGAACGGAUCCUUCGGGAUUAGUGGCGGACGGGUGAGUAACGCGUGGGAACAUCCCCAAAGGUACGGAAUAGCCUCGGGAAACUGGGAGUAAUACCGUAUGUGCUCGAAAGAGGAAAGAUUUAUCGCCUGUGGAGUGGCCCGCGUUGGAUUGGGUAGUUGGUGGGGUAAUGGCCUACCAAGCCGACGAUCCAGAGCUGGUUUGAGAGGAUGAUCAGCCACAAUGGGACGUAAACACGGACCGGACUCCGACGGGAGGCAGCAGUGGGGAAUCUUUGUCAAUGGAGGAACCCCUGAUCUAGCCAUGCCGCGUGAUCGAUGAAGGCCUUAGGGUUGUAAAGAUCUUUCAGGUGGGAAGAUAAUGACUGUACCACCAGAAGAAGCCCCGGCUAGCUCCGUGCCAGCCGCCGCAGUAA
rnacentral:rRNA from 1 species